rnacentral:misc_RNA from 1 species
CGGUUUAACACCGGCAGUCUCACUAGAGUCCGCAGCAUUACCUGUUCGCAACUAGUGAUAGGGGUUUCGCUCGUUAAGGGACUUAACCCGACACUUCACAGCACGAGCUGACGACAGCCAUGCAGCACCUGUGUAUGUUCCACUACAAGAGUGUCAUCGCCGUUUCUGGCGACUAAUCCAUACAUGUCAAACCCAGGAUAAGGUUCUUCGCGUUGCUUCGAAUUAAGCCACAUGCUCCACCGCUUGUGUGAGCCCCCGUCAAUUCCUUUGAGUUUUAGCCUUGCGACCGUACUCCCCAGGCGGUGCACUCAACGUUUUUACUUCGACCGAGAACAGGGUCAAACCUUCCUCGAUCUAGUGCACAUCGUUUACGGCGUGGACUA